rnacentral:rRNA from 1 species
UCGGGAAUUUUGGGCAAUGGGCGAAAGCCUGACCCAGCAACGCCGCGUGAAGGAUGAAGUAUUUCGGUAUGUAAACUUCGAAAGAAUAGGAAGAAUAAAUGACGGUACUAUUUAUAAGGUCCGGCUAACUACGUGCCAGCAGCCGCGGUAAUACGUAGGGACCAAGCGUUGUUCGGAUUUACUGGGCGUAAAGGGCGCGUAGGCGGCAUGACAAGUCACUUGUGAAAUCUCCGAGCUUAACUCGGAACGGUCAACUGAUACUGUCACACUAGAGUACAGAAGGGGCAAUCGGAAUUCUUGGUGUAGCGGUGAAAUGCGUAGAUAUCAAGAGGAACACCUGAGGCGAAGGCGGGUUGCUGGGCUGAUACUGACGCUGAGGCGCGAAAGCUAGGGUAGCAAACGGGAUUAGAUACCCCCGUAGUCCCUGAGCGGGCUGGCAAGGCGCAU